rnacentral:rRNA from 1 species
AUUGAACGCUGGCGGCAGGCCUAACACAUGCAAGUCGAGCGGAGCGGAGGACGGGUGAGUAAUGCCUAGGAAUCUGCCUGAUAGUGGGGGAUAACGUCCGGCAACGGGCGCUAAUACCGCAUACUAUCAGAUUAGCCUAGUUCGGAUUAGCUAGUUGGGGGGGUAAAGGCCUACAAGUGCGACGAUCCGAAACUGGUCUGAGAGGAUGAUCAGUCAAACGGGACCUUAGACACGGUCCAGACUCCUCCGGGAGGCAGCAGUGGGGAAUAUUGGAAAAUGGGCGAAAGCCUGAUCCAGCCAUGCCGCGUGUGUUAAGAAGGUCUUCGGAUUGUAAAGCACUUUAAGUUGUGAGGCGUUACCAACAGAAUAAGCACCGGCUAACUUCGUGCCAGCAGCCGCGGUAAUUC